rnacentral:rRNA from 1 species
CAGAGGGUGCAAACGUUGCUCGGAAUUACUGGGCGUAAAGCGCGUGUAGGCGGUUCCGCAAGUCAGGUGUGAAAGCCCAGGGCUCAACCCUGGAAGUGCACUUGAUACUACGGAGCUUGAGUACUGAAGAGGAGAGCGGAAUUCCCGGUGUAGAGGUGAAAUUCGUAGAUAUCGGGAGGAACACCAGUGGCGAAGGCGGCUCUCUGGGCAGAUACUGACGCUGAGACGCGAAAGCAUGGGGAGCAAACAGGAUUAGAUACCCUGGUAGUCCAUGCUGUAAACGAUGAGAACUGGGUGUUGUGGGUAUUGACCCCCGCGGUGCCGAAGCCAACGCGUUAAGUUCUCCGCCUGGGAAGUACGGCCGCAAGGCUA